AUGGAGCAUGACCUUGAUAACAGUAGGAAGAACUCCAAUUUCAGACCAAGACCUGCCUCGGCUCCUAGUGGGUCUAGAAACAGAACUCAUACUAUGGAUGCUAUCUCUUCCCCUGUUCUCUCUGGGGUGGAGAUGAAUAUCAACAUCCCUUUGGAGAGAUCAGUUUUCUUGAAGAUUCAGGAUGCUCCACUUACCAAAAGCUACCUGCAAGCUGUUAAGAAAACCCCAGUGGAGAAUUGUGGUACUAUCCUUCUUCCUGAGUUUGAAGCUGCUUCAAAAUAUGGGGUGACCAGAUCUGAAAAUUUCCCUGCUCCUCUUGGGGGGUUAAUUCCUUGCCCCUCCCUUACAGCUACCCUUAAAGCUGGGAGAGACAAAUGGGGCCCUGUUGUUUCCACUAGGAUGAGUGACAGGAUCAAGAGAGAUGGGAAGCCAGCCCUGGUCAAAGCUCAAGAAAUUAAGCAGAUGAAGAACUUGGAGACCCCUAGAGGUGAGUUAAAUGAGAUUUGGAAGAAAGAGGAAAUCAAGGCCAUGCAGAGAGCUAGGGAAAGGGACAUUAGAGAGGGAGAUCUGAACUCUGACUACUUUCAAGCCCUGGCCAAUCAGAAGAGGAGGAAGAAGCAUAUUGUUGUGCUAGAAACUGCUGGUGGCCCAGUUGAAGACACUAAAGGUGUUGUGGCGCAAGACGGCCUCGUACGCUGCACGGUGGGAACCGCUGUCUGUAGACCCUGUUAA
rnacentral:rRNA from 1 species